UUGAACGCUGGCGGCAGGCCUAACACAUGCAAGUCGAGCGGUAGCACAGAGAGCUUGCUCUCGGGUGACGAGCGGCGGACGGGUGAGUAAUGUCUGGGAAACUGCCUGAUGGAGGGGGAUAACUACUGGAAACGGUAGCUAAUACCGCAUAAUGUCGCAAGACCAAAGUGGGGGACCUUCGGGCCUCAUGCCAUCAGAUGUGCCCAGAUGGGAUUAGCUAGUAGGUGGGGUAACGGCUCACCUAGGCGACGAUCCCUAGCUGGUCUGAGAGGAUGACCAGCCACACUGGAACUGAGACACGGUCCAGACUCCUACGGGAGGCAGCAGUGGGGAAUAUUGCACAAUGGGCGCAAGCCUGAUGCAGCCAUGCCGCGUGUGUGAAGAAGGCCUUCGGGUUGUAAAGCACUUUCAGCGGGGAGGAAGGCGGUGAGGUUAAUAACCUCAUCGAUUGACGUUACCCGCAGAAGAAGCACCGGCUAACUCCGUGCCAGCAGCCGCGGUAAUACGGAGGGUGCAAGCGUUAAUCGGAAUUACUGGGCGUAAAGCGCACGCAGGCGGUCUGUCAAGUCGGAUGUGAAAUCCCCGGGCUCAACCUGGGAACUGCAUUCGAAACUGGCAGGCUAGAGUCUUGUAGAGGGGGGUAGAAUUCCAGGUGUAGCGGUGAAAUGCGUAGAGAUCUGGAGGAAUACCGGUGGCGAAGGCGGCCCCCUGGACAAAGACUGACGCUCAGGUGCGAAAGCGUGGGGAGCAAACAGGAUUAGAUACCCUGGUAGUCCACGCCGUAAACGAUGUCGAUUUGGAGGUUGUGCCCUUGAGGCGUGGCUUCCGGAGCUAACGCGUUAAAUCGACCGCCUGGGGAGUACGGCCGCAAGGUUAAAACUCAAAUGAAUUGACGGGGGCCCGCACAAGCGGUGGAGCAUGUAGUUUAAUUCGAUGCAACGCGAAGAACCUUACCUGGUCUUGACAUCCACAGAACUUUCCAGAGAUGGAUUGGUGCCUUCGGGAACUGUGAGACAGGUGCUGCAUGGCUGUCGUCAGCUCGUGUUGUGAAAUGUUGGGUUAAGUCCCGCAACGAGCGCAACCCUUAUCCUUUGUUGCCAGCGGUUAGGCCGGGAACUCAAAGGAGACUGCCAGUGAUAAACUGGAGGAAGGUGGGGAUGACGUCAAGUCAUCAUGGCCCUUACGACCAGGGCUACACACGUGCUACAAUGGCAUAUACAAAGAGAAGCGACCUCGCGAGAGCAAGCGGACCUCAUAAAGUAUGUCGUAGUCCGGAUUGGAGUCUGCAACUCGACUCCAUGAAGUCGGAAUCGCUAGUAAUCGUAGAUCAGAAUGCUACGGUGAAUACGUUCCCGGGCCUUGUACACACCGCCCGUCACACCAUGGGAGUGGGUUGCAAAAGAAGUAGGUAGCUUAACCUUCGGGAGGGCGCUUACCACUUUGUGAUUCAUGACUGGGGUG
rnacentral:rRNA from 1 species